rnacentral:rRNA from 1 species
AUGCUGCGUUACCUAUCACUUGUUUACCAUGCCUCCCAUAUUGCCAUGUCAGCCUCUAACUUUUCGCCCUUCCUAGCAAACCAUUGCUUGGCUAUGUUACUGCUUUGCUCAGCCCCUCUUAUAGCGUUGUUAGUUGUAGGUGAAGUUGAAGAUUGCUCCAUGAUGGAUAGGAUUAUGUUGGGAUAUCACAAUAUCUCUUAUUUAAUUAAUGCAUCUAUAUACUUGGUAAAGGGUGGAAGGCUCGGUCUUAUGCCUGGUGUUUUGUUCCACUCUUGCCGCUCUAGUUUCCGUCAUACCGGUGUUAUGUUACUUGAUUUUGCGUUCCUUACGCGGUUGGGUGAUUUAUGGGACCCCCUUGACAGUUCGCUUUGA